rnacentral:rRNA from 1 species
UACAGGGGGGGCAAGCGUUGUUCGGAAUUACUGGGCGUAAAGGGUUUGUAGGUGGCCACUUAAGUCAGACGUGAAAUCCCUCAGCUUAACUGGGGAACUGCGUCUGAUACUGCGUGGCUUGAGUGCAGGAGAGGAACGCGGAAUUCCAGGUGUAGCGGUGAAAUGCGUAGAUAUCUGGAGGAACACCGGUGGCGAAGGCGGCGUUCUGGACUGUAACUGACACUGAGAAACGAAAGCCAGGGUAGCAAACGGG